GGGGCCUUAGCUCAGUUGGUAGAGCGCCUGCUUUGCAAGCAGGAUGUCGGGAGUUCGAUUCUCCCAGGCUCCACAA
rnacentral:tRNA from 5 species